UACGGGGGGGGGCAAGCGUUGUUCGGAAUUACUGGGCGUAAAGGGCUCGUAGGCGGCCAACUAAGUCGGAUGUGAAAUCCCCAGGCUUAACCUGGGAACUGCAUCCGAUACUGGAUGGCUUGAAUCCGGGAGAGGGAUGCGGAAUUCCAGGUGUAGCGGUGAAAUGCGUAGAUAUCUGGAGGAACACCGGUGGCGAAGGCGGCAUCCUGGACCGGCAUUGACGCUGAGGAGCGAAAGCCAGGGGAGCAAAC
rnacentral:rRNA from 1 species